UACGGGGGGAGCAAGCGUUGUUCGGAUUUAUUGGGCGUAAAGAGCUCGUAGGCGGUGUGUCGCGUCGGCCGUGAAAACCUGCAGCUUAACUGUGGGCUUGCGGUCGAUACGGGCAUCACUGGAGUUCGGCAGGGGAGACUGGAAUUCCUGGUGUAGCGGUGAAAUGCGCAGAUAUCAGGAGGAACACCGGUGGCGAAGGCGGGUCUCUGGGCCGAUACUGACGCUGAGGAGCGAAAGCGUGGGGAGCGAACAGG
rnacentral:rRNA from 1 species